rnacentral:rRNA from 1 species
GACGAACCGUGCAAACGUUGUUCGGAAUCACUGGGCUUAAAGGGCGCGUAGGCGGGCCAGCCAGUCUGUGGUGAAAGCCCCCGGCUUAACCGGGGAAGUGCCGUGGAUACUGCUGGCCUCGAGGAGGAUAGGGGCACCUGGAACGGUCGGUGGAGCGGUGAAAUGCGUUGAUAUCGACCGGAACUCCGGUGGCGAAGGCGAGGUGCUGGGUCCUUUCUGACGCUGAUGCGCGAAAGCCAGGGGAGCAAACGGG